rnacentral:rRNA from 1 species
AGCGAACGCUGGCGGCAGGCCUAACACAUGCAAGUCGAACGAACUCUUCGGAGUUAGUGGCGGACGGGUGAGUAACACGUGGGAACGUGCCUUUAGGUUCGGAAUAACUCAGGGAAACUUGUGCUAAUACCGAAUGUGCCCUUCGGGGGAAAGAUUUAUCGCCUUUAGAGCGGCCCGCGUCUGAUUAGCUAGUUGGUGAGGUAAAGGCUCACCAAGGCGACGAUCAGUAGCUGGUCUGAGAGGAUGAUCAGCCACAUUGGGACUGAGACACGGCCCAAACUCCUACGGGAGGCAGCAGUGGGGAAUAUUGCGCAAUGGGCGAAAGCCUGACGCAGCCAUGCCGCGUGAAUGAUGAAGGUCUUAGGAUUGUAAAAUUCUUUCACCGGGGACGAUAAUGACGGUACCCGGAGAAGAAGCCCCGGCUAACUUCGUG